rnacentral:tRNA from 1 species
GCCUGGGUAGCUCAGUCAGUUAAGCAUCUGACUUUGGCUCAGGUCAUGAUCUCACAGUUGGUGAGUGCAAGUCCCACAUCAGGCU